rnacentral:sRNA from 1 species
AAGCCUCAUACGUACUUUAGCUACCCCAUCAAAGCUUUGAGAAGCAAGAAGAAGCUUGGUUAGUGUUGUGGAGUCAAAUAUGACUAGAUGUUAUGUGUAUGAGUGAGUAUAACAAAUAGAACCGCAACCGGAUUUUAAAAGCCUAAGUAUUGUAUCCUUGUUAGAAGAUACAAAGACAAAGACUCAUAAGGACUUCGGCUACACCAUCAAAGCUUUGAGAAGCAAAAAGAAGCUUGGUUAGUGUUUUGGAGUCGAAUAUGACUUGAA